GGAAUAUUGGUCAAUGGGCGAGAGCCUGAACCAGCCAAGUAGCGUGCAGGAUGACGGCCCUAUGGGUUGUAAACUGCUUUUAUAUAGGGAUAAAGUCACCCACGUGUGGGUGUUUGUAGGUACUAUAUGAAUAAGGACCGGCUAAUUCCGUGCCAGCAGCCGCGGUAAUACGGAAGGUCCAGGCGUUAUCCGGAUUUAUUGGGUUUAAAGGGAGCGCAGGCUGAUGAUUAAGCGUGACGUGAAAUGUAGCCGCUCAACGGCUGAACUGCGUCGCGAACUGAUUAUCUUGAGUGAGUUCGAUGUUGGCGGAAUUCGUGGUGUAGCGGUGAAAUGCUUAGAUAUCACGAAGAACUCCGAUUGCGAAGGCAGCCUUCCAGGGCAUUACUGACGCUAAAGCUCGAAGGUGCGGGUAUCGAACA
rnacentral:rRNA from 1 species